GCGAAUGGCUCAUUACAACAGCCUUAAUUUACUUGACCUUGACAACCUACUUGGAUAACUGUGGUAAUUCUAGAGCUAAUACAUGCACCAAAGCUCCGAUCCUCGCGGAGAGGAGCGCAUUUGUUCGCCACAAAACCAAGCGCCCUUCUGGGCGUCCAGUGCUGAACCAGAACAACUCAGCUGAUCGCACGGUCUUGCACCGGCGACGUGUCUUUCAAGUGUCUGCCUUAUCAACUUUCGAUGGUAGUGUACCUGACUACCAUGGUUGUGACGGGUAACGGAGGAUAAGGGUUCGACUCCGGAGAAGGGGCCUGAGAAAUGGCCACUACGUCUAAGGAUGGCAGCAGGCGCGCAAAUUACCCACUCUCAACGCGAGGAGGUAGUGACGAGAAAUAACAAGACCGUUCUCCUACGAGGCCGGUUAUUGGAAUGGGUACAAUUUAAACCCUUUAACGAGUAUCUAUGAGAGGUCAAGUCUGGUGCCAGCAGCCGCGGUAAUUCCAGCU
rnacentral:rRNA from 1 species